AUUGAACGCUGGCGGCAGGCCUAACACAUGCAAGUCGAGCGGAUGAAGGGAGCUUGCUCCUGGAUUCAGCGGCGGACGGGUGAGUAAUGCCUAGGAAUCUGCCUGGUAGUGGGGGAUAACGUCCGGAAACGGGCGCUAAUACCGCGUACGUCCUGAGGGAGAAAGUGGGGGAUCUUCGGACCUCACGCUAUCAGAUGAGCCUAGGUCGGAUUAGCUAGUUGGUGGGGUAAGGGCCUACCAAGGCGACGAUCCGUAACUGGUCUGAGAGGAUGAUCAGUCACACUGGAACUGAGACACGGUCCAGACUCCUACGGGAGGCAGCAGUGGGGAAUAUUGGACAAUGGGCGAAAGCCUGAUCCAGCCAUGCCGCGUGUGUGAAGAAGGUCUUCGGAUUGUAAAGCACUUUAAGUUGGGAGGAAGGGCAGUAAGUUAAUACCUUGCUGUUUUGACGUUACCAACAGAAUAAGCACCGGCUAACUUCGUG
rnacentral:rRNA from 1 species